rnacentral:hammerhead_ribozyme from 1 species
AUCCAGCUUACGAGUCCCUAAUAGGACGAAACGCGCGUCCUGGAU